CCCUUAGAUGUUCUGGGCCGCACGCGCGCUACACUGACGGAGCCAACGAGUCUUUUCCUUGUCCGGAAGGACUGGGUAAUCUUGUGAAACUUCGUCGUGCUGGGGAUAGAGCAUUGCAAUUAUUGCUCUUCAACGGGGAAUUCCUAGUAAGCGUGAGUCAUCAGCUCGCGUUGAUUACGUCCCUGCCCUUUGUACACACCGCCCGUCGCACCUACCGAUUGAAUGGUCCGGUGAAAUCUUCGGAUUGAGACUUUGAUUUCUUCACGGAAAACGCUGUUUUAAAAAGUUGAUUAAACCUUACCAUUUAGUGGAAGGUGAAGUCGUAACA
rnacentral:rRNA from 1 species